AGCAGCCGCGGUAAUUCCAGCUCCAAUAGCGUAUAUUAAAGUUGUUGCAGUUAAAAAGCUCGUAGUUGAAUUUCGGGAUCAAUUUAUUGGUCGUGCAAUAGUACGUACUGGUAUUAUUGGUUCCUACCUUCUGAUGAACCAUGAUGUCAUUAAUUUGGUGUUAUGGGGAAUCAGGACUGUUACUUUGAAAAAUUAGAGUGUUUAAAGCAGGCUCACGCUUGAAUACAUUAGCAUGGAAUAAUGAAAUAGGACGUAUGAUUCUAUUUUGUUGGUUUCUAGGAUCGACGUAAUGAUUAAUAGGGAUAGUUGGGGGCAUUAGUAUUCAAUUGUCAGAGGUGAAAUUCUUGGAUUUAUGAAGACUAACUACUGCGAAAGCAUUUGCCAAGG
rnacentral:misc_RNA from 1 species